CACUCUUUGGUUUAAUUUAUCGUUUUAUGGUCCUUUCGAAGCCCAGCUCAGUCCACUAUACACAGUGUAGCAACAGUAGUAGUCGUCGGUGGCACCGUAGCGAGCCGAGGGGCCGGAGAAGAGGAAAGGCCGAAGUGGGCCGAGCGAAGAGACAAAUGAACCGCGAAACAAAGGACUGGCGUGGGGCGCAGGGCGUGGCGCUCGGCGUAUUAAGCCCGCAACGCGGCAUUGUCGGGCUCGUGUUAUUGUUGUAACCACCGGGGUUAACUUAAUUGGAUUUAAGUCGAAUUGUUUGCGCACCACACCGCACGUUGGACAGACGUAGGAUCUUCUUCGAGUUGGAAAAAUCAGUGUCUAUGCUUCUGGCCUCAGGAUUUCGCCAAGAAUCCAGUAUGCUGAACUGCCGUAUAUGAUCCUCACAAUUCUAGCCACUAGAUUUUCAUCCUAUUAGCUUCAAAGUGCUGCGUAUGCACUUUUACAUGGAUAAGUGUUUUCUUGUAUGCGUAUACGGAUCUCACGAAGAUCAUUGGAUGCCACGGAAUAACCACUGCUGUUCUUUUCACUAGCUACAGGGAGCUUCCCCGUGAAUGUAAAAGCUUCACUCCCGUUUCCUUUUCUACACCCUCCAGAUGGAUCCUCGUAUACAAGAAGCGGUCGGAUUAGCGGUGGAGUUCGGUAGCCGAGACAGCGGCUAGCAAUCCCUAGCUCGUUGAAAUGAUUCCACUUAUCCGCGGCGGGGAGUCCCCAAAGAAUCCGCGUCGGACAAAGCGGGGAAUCGAAGGCAGCCGCCACGGGACGUCCGGCUACCGAAGAUAUUUCAUUUACCAGGACAAAAAGUUCCGUUCCUCUCGAAGACGGUCCCCUGCGCCUCCGUGCCGGGGCAGCCCCAAUUCCACGCAGAGGCCCCGGUUGCCGCCCGCCAAGAAACAAAUGAGCACCGAUCAUCUUGUCCGGAGCGACAAUGGCCAUAGGAACCGGGCCCGAACUCACGGGGCUUCAUUGUCGUUAUCCCGUUUGAGAGCUUUCUCGCUUCGUUUUCACUCGCUGACCAUCUCGGCCCGCUUUCGUAAUACGACUUACCGGUUUUGGUUAGGUACCAGUUUCGGUGUCCUUUGAGGAUACAUCAAAGAUCACUCGGAUCUACGAUUGAUCAUAAACGAUCCAACGUCAUGCGGAUAAUUACCCUGCAUCACUGCGAUGAUAUUCAAGAGAUAAGGGACAAGAAGAUUUUACGGGUCUCGUCGUCGUAUCAACGUCGAAGUCACGGAGGUAGCCGGUAUUCAGGAAUUUUCGAGGAUUCGUAUACCAGCUGCGAGUGCGAGAGAGACAGACUUAUGGGUAUACAAGCGUAAAUUACAGAUAAAGAAGUCAUUCCCAGGGCAGACAGAGUCACCAAGUCGAAAUGCUAAAAAGUUGACGAGCCAGAGAAGGAAGGAAAGAAAAUAAAAAUAAAGAAAAGUCAAACUCCAAUGAUCCCACGACCGAGAACGGAAACUCUUCUCACCUGUUUAAAGCGUCGGCCAUUGUCCGCGAGAUAAUUUGGUUAAAGUAACUAAUUGUUCGCCCUUUUCAACUCGCCGCUUAUGAUGCCAGGAGCGGUCCCUUUGUCGUAAUUAAUAGUCCUGCUCACAGGACCUUACUUCUGCCUAAAUGAUUUCCCAUCCAUCUUCCAGCUCGAGACUCCCGAGCGACGUGCUGCUCUACGCUUUUCCACGAAAACACGAGAAAGAAAACAAGCCGGCAGCGAGUGCGAGAGAGACGGCGACGGCCGUUGGCCAACGGGAGUAAGAGAGAGAGAAGAUCGGAUCCAGUCAACGAAAUAGACCACGUCAACAGAAAACGAUCCCAUCAUGUAAAGCGUUGUCGAUGUAACGAUCAAAAACUCGAGGUUGAACGUCGGCCAUUUUAACGUCCCGGACUGUCUAGCCUCACGGCGUACAAACAUCGGGCACGGAACCAACAAGCCGUAUGAGUAAAAGGUGUCAGAGGUUGGCCGCGUCUGGUUCCACGGCUGUUGGCAAGUUAGUUAGUGGAAUAUGGUCUCCGAUUAGGCUCUCCAAUUGCCACAUCCGCAGGAAGGACGUGCAGGUAACAAUUUCAAGUUCUCAGUGGUUCUCAUGGCGUUCGGUGCGCAUGCGCACAAAGUCGACGGCCAUGAUGGCAAAUAAUUUCGUUGAAAGACAAACGUCGAUAUAUAUAUAUAUAUAUAUGUAACGGCGAAUA